GCGGCGGUGGCUCAGGUGGGUAGAGGUUCGGCUAUGGCGCAGAAGGUCGCGGGUUCGAUCCCGCUGUGGUA